rnacentral:rRNA from 1 species
AGUGAACGCUGGCGGUAGGCCUAACACAUGCAAGUCGAACGGCAGCACAGUAAGAGCUUGCUCUUACGGGUGGCGAGUGGCGGACGGGUGAGGAAUACAUCGGAAUCUACUUUUUCGUGGGGGAUAACGUAGGGAAACUUACGCUAAUACCGCAUACGACCUACGGGUGAAAGCAGGGGAUCUUCGGACCUUGCGCGAUUGAAUGAGCCGAUGUCGGAUUAGCUAGUUGGCGGGGUAAAGGCCCACCAAGGCGACGAUCCGUAGCUGGUCUGAGAGGGUGAUCCGCCACACUGAGACUGAGACACGGUCCAGACUCCUACGGGAGGCCGCAGUGGGGAAUAUUGGACAAUGGGCGCAAGCCUGAUCCAGCCAUACCGCGUGGGUGAAGAAGGCCUUCGGGUUGUAAAGCCCUUUUGUUGGGAAAGAAAAGCAGCAGGUUAAUACCCCGCUGUUCUGGCGGUACCCAAAGAAUAAGCACCGGCUAACUUCGUG